rnacentral:rRNA from 1 species
ACGCUCGACACCUACGGGUGGCAGCAGUGGGGAAUAUUGCACAAUGGGGGAAACCCUGAUGCAGCGACGCCGCGUGAGCGAAGAAGUAUCUCGGUAUGUAAAGCUCUAUCAGCAGGGAAGAAGAUGACGGUACCUGACUAAGAAGCACCGGCUAAAUACGUGCCAGCAGCCGCGGUAAUCUGAGCGGGCUGGCAAGGC